CUCACUCAGAAAUCUUGUUAAAAUGCAGAUUUUGAUUAAGUUCGUGGUAGGGCCCAAGAUUCUGCAUUUCUAACAAGUUCCCAGAUCAUGCAAA
rnacentral:pre_miRNA from 1 species